UGGUAAAAAUGUUGCCCUAAUAGCAGAAUCCACCAGCUGGAGCGCCACACCAAACACACUUUUCCAUAAAAACAGCCCACCUAAUGUGUUUCUAGAGACCUGGAGGCCAUACAUUUUCUAUUUCAGAUCAUCUCGAGCUUGAUUGAGUAGGUAACGUGAAGCAAUAAUAGGCUAACAAGGAUAAGUCUUGGCAGCUUGGCGAAUACGCAGUCUACGUCUCAAUACACAACCCAAUCAACAUUUGGGCGCUGAGGGCCUGAAGAGACAAGUCUUCAGGGGGAGACAUCUCACUCGCAAAGAAACCGCCCAAGACUUCGGACCUCUCCUUCUAUAAAGCAUGGACUACCCGAUCUGCAAAUCAUUGUUGUCGGAAACUACACCUCGUCAAUGAAAAGACCUACCCAGAUCUUUACGAUCAUCAGAACAAGAGGAAUCAACAAGGAGAGAGGGAAGGGAGCAAUGGAUAGUAUUGGAACCCAGCCCAGCAGGGACUUAUGUGCUCGAACUAUAUGUCACAGAUGGUAGGAUCUCAGGGAGUUGAUGUAGGAAAUCCACUGAGUAAUAUUGAUCUGUGGAAACAUCCUCUCUAUGCCUGAUAUCCACAGGAUGUCCACUUCCACCGGGGGCUGCAGUGAGACAUAGCUACUGGGAUUUCCAAUAGUACCCACUUCCCUCUGACAGACACCUGCUACAUGGACCACAGCUCUACAUCUCUCCAUCUAGAUUCUACACUACAGCAUGGCCGUACUGCAGUGAAAUACAAUGUCUGGUGAUACUGCAUAACUAAUCUAAUCAUAUGGAAAUCUUUUGUUGUUUUUAUACCAGUAUAUUAAAGUAUGCAAAUGCAAAAAUGUA